UACGUAGGUGGCGAGCGUUGUCCGGAUUUACUGGGCGUAAAGGGCGUGCAGGCGGUUUGUUAAGUGCAGGGUGAAAGCUCCCGGCUCAACUGGGAGAGGUCCUUGCAUACUGGCGAACUCGAGGGAGGCAGAGGAAAGUGGAAUUCCCGGUGUAGUGGUGAAAUGCGUAGAUAUCGGGAGGAACACCAGUGGCGAAGGCGACUACCUGGCCUGUUCUUGACGCUGAGGCGCGAAAGCUGGGGGAGCAAACGGG
rnacentral:rRNA from 1 species